UACGAAGGGGGCUAGCGUUGCUCGGAAUUACUGGGCGUAAAGAGCGUGUAGGCGGCCAAGCAGGUCCGUUGUGAAAACUGGAGGCUUAACCUCCAGACGUCGACGGAAACCGCGUGGCUAGAGUCCGGAAGAGGAGAGUGGAAUUCCUGGUGUAGCGGUGAAAUGCGCAGAUAUCAGGAAGAACACCAAUGGCGAAGGCAGCUCUCUGGGACGGUACUGACGCUGAGACGCGAAAGCGUGGGGAGCGAACAGG
rnacentral:rRNA from 1 species